GCUUGUCUCAAAGAUUAAGCCAUGCAUGUCUAAGUAUAAACGAAUUUAUACUGUGAAACUGCGAAUGGCUCAUUACAUCAGUUAUAGUUUAUUUGAUGGUCCUUGCUACUUGGAUAACCGUAGUAAUUCUAGAGCUAAUACAUGCAUAAAACCCUAACUUCGGAAGGGUUGUAUUUAUUAGAUAAAAAACCAAUGCCCUUCGGGGCUCUUUGGUGAUUCAUGAUAACUUCUCAGAUCGCACGGCCUUGCGCCGGCGACGGUUCAUUCAAAUUUCUGCCCUAUCAACUUUCGAUGGUACGGUAUUGGCCUACCAUGGUUUCAACGGGUAACAGGGAAUUAGGGUUCGAUUCUGGAGAGCGAGCCUGAGAGACGGCUAGCACAUCCAAGGAAGGCAGCAGG
rnacentral:rRNA from 1 species